UGCGAAUCCUAGGAGUAUCGUAGGUCACGUCAAAAAUUUUUGGUCAAGAAAUAAUAGUGGAGGUACAACACCGAGAAUUCUCCACUGUUCCAAAUCUUAGGACUUGUAAGGAGUGUGUUUACGUCUCGAGCACUGAUCCUAUAGUAUGCUAUGCUAUAGCAUAAAGGACGUGGGCCACUAAUCGAACAUGGCGGAUCUCAUGGGGAUAAUCGAAUAUCUGACAUUCGAUCUCGAUUAGUCGAAUAGAUAACUGACAAUUACAUCAGCUGAUUAGCAGAGGGUACGGGCAAAGAGAAUUGACUAAAUAAAAGUAGAGGCUCAGUCAAAGAGGAUUGACUGAAUUUCAUUAGGAGUAUCUUCAAUAUAUUGAAUAAUUUUUUCCAUUUAAAAUUCCACAAGAUGUGACUUCCCCCUUUCGCUCGUCGACUAAAUUUCAGUUAAACGAAUAAAAAACAAAAAGCAUU